rnacentral:rRNA from 1 species
AGGGUGUAAACGCUGCAGACUUGGUGUUGGAAGUCCUUUGGGGGCAUUCAGUGCCGGAGAGAAGUUGUUAAGUCUGCUACUUGGGGAGUACGUCCGCAAGGAUGAAACUUAAAGGAGUUGGCGGGGGAGCACCGCAACGGGAGGAGCGUGCGGUUUAAUUGGAUUCAACACCGUAAAACUCACCAGGGAAGACUGUUACAUGAAGGCCGAGAUGAAGACUCUGCUAGAUUUUUCAGAGAGGAGGUGCAUGGCGUCAGUGACU